AAUGGGUUUGGCGUGCCGCGUACAUACGUACUCUGCCAAGGAAUUCGUUACCGGGAUUUUCGCCGACGUGUCUUCUAUGAAUUGUCUUCUUUGAAAUGCAAAAAUCCAAGGAAUCUUUUUUCUACCGAGGAGAAAUUGGUAGAUUUUUGACAGGGAAAAGGAACGAGAGCAAACGGGAGAGCCGAAAGAGAAGCAACCGAGGGAGAAACAGAGAAGAAAAAUGAAGUUUGAGCCUCGUUGAAGUGUCAUCCGUGUUAUCGUGCGAGGAAGAUCACGUUUAUCUGAACGAGUCAAAGGCGAACGUCGGAUUACUUGAUUUUUAUAUUACAAACCAUCACUUGCUACAUCCGACAAACACAGGCGCACAAAUUUCUGCGCUAUACUCAACGGACCGAUCUUUUCCAUCUUUUCACUGUUUUCUUCUCAUUACCAGACAAAAGGUUCUCAAAGAGUUUCGAAAAUAUCGGUAACGAUUUCUCGUUAUUCAAGCGUCCAAUGUAAAAACACAUUCGUAAUUCUUUGAAUUUAACUUUGUUUCUAGCAUCCAUUGCUUUUUUUUCUUUACUGUUUUAUUUGACAUUUUUCAUAUCCUUGAAAAGUAUGUAAGACACGAAUUAACGUGUCAAAGUAACGCUGUACCGCUGUAAAGGGCACGAUUAAAGGAUUCUAUCAAAAUGUAAGAGAAAUCUAAAAACUUCAAAAGAAUCCUUAGACGCAACAUCGUUAGAGAACAAGAAGAUACAACGGUUAAGAUGAAACGGGAAACGGAAACCGCGCGACGGAGCAGCGACGAAGAUAACGAAGCCGUUCGAGCCAGGUACCACGUAACAGCCACUUUCAAGCAAAUGCAUUUAAGGGAAUAAAUGGAUGGUCAGCGUGAUGAGGCGCGUUAAGUGCCGCUCGCCAGGCGUAGCACACGUGUCAAAAGCAAACUACGAGUACGGCUCGUAUAUCGAAAAAAUUACGGACCCAAAGGAAUAUCAUGGGGUAUCCUUGGCAAGUCGAAAUAUCGAAAGAUCGCAUAUUUUUCUUUUUUUCUUUUAAUUUGUAUUUUUAAAAUAGAAUGGACGAAACUUUCUGCAGGCAGAAGAACUGGCAAAAAAGAAAAGAAACAAAAAACAAGAGUAGAUUCUCUUUAUUAAUAUUGAAUAUGCUUUUGAAUUUGAAAUUUCCAAUAACAACGUAGAGAAAUUUCUUGGAGGAUUUGUCAGUAGAGAUCUUUUCUUUCCUUUUUUCAGAAAUUCGUUUGCACUUUUGAGAGAAAACGGGCAAAUUCUCAAUAAAAUUCUGACUAAUUCAAAA